GCCCCGAUCGUCUAGCCCGGUCAAGGAUGAAGCCCUUUCGAGGCUUCGACGCGAGUUCAAAUCUCGCUCGGGGCA
rnacentral:tRNA from 1 species